AAUGAAGUCUUUAAGAAGCCCUCUCUGGAUAUCAGUUUCUGGCUGCAGUUCCUACAACCCAGCUGUCAGUGAAGGCCCCACUCAUAGGAUAAGUGAAAAUAAGAAUCGAACUCCCAACUUGGGGAGAAAGGUUGAAGGACUUCCCCAGGGCUUAAAGAAGAAUCAAAGUCAGGAGCUGCAAUGGACAGAAGUGCUUUCCUCCCCCCACCUGCAAUCCUAGAAGUGGUUUCCAUGGGAGAAAAAUCAAAAGCUUCUGUCAACUGCAAUGUGACUUCCACCCCUCACCACUCAACCAACCCUCUCCUCCAAGCUUACCUGGUGUCACAGCAGGGGCCCUGCUCUGGGGCCAGACUGCCUUGUUCAAGUCUCAGAUGUACCUUCUGACUCUAUGGCUCUGGACAAACUAUUUAAUAUUCCUGCCUCUGUUUCCUCAUCCACUGACAGUAAUAACAGUACCUUUCUUAAAGGACUUCUGUGAAGGCAGAAUGUGCCAACAGGUGUAAGGAACUUAGAAUUACACUUGGCACAUAGGAAGCUGUUUAUACAUAUUAGUAUUCCCUGUUAUUUAUUUCCUAAACUGCUAUUAAUGUAAUAUACAUCCAAAAAUUGCAUAAAAUAUCGAUGUGUAUCAUAAUGAAUAAUUAUAAAGUAAACUCCGUGAAGCUUCCUGCUGGUCCCUGCUUUAUCUGACCCUUCUUUAUUUGUAUUCUUCUUUUCUAGAUAUCACUUCCCUGUUUUUUCUAAUAGUUUUGUCACUGACAUAUAUAUCCCCAAACAGAGAACUUUAAUUUUACAAUUGUUUUCCCUUUAAACCCCUAUGUGAUGAUGAAAUUUUACAUGUUUAUAAAAC